rnacentral:lncRNA from 1 species
AUCAACCAGGGGCUGAAGCCAGCUGCUACCCAUUCCGAAAAACAAUCUCCUGCAUCUUAAUAGGCACCGAGGCAGCCUGCUCCCCUGACAGUUGCAAAUGGCUGUCUUUUAAGGUGGGCGCUUUGGCGGUCUGCUUGCUUCAUGGAAGUGAACCUAACUCAGCCACUCCCGGUUGUGUCGAGGAUUUAACCCAGGGUCUCGCAUUCAUCAGACUACCGGAUGCAGAGUCUAUCUCCCUGACAUCUGCUUUCUGCAUUCAACCUGACCUGGAGCAAAGCUCUAACUGCAUUCAGGCCCAGCCAGUUUCUUACAGGCAACAGCCAGCUCACUCUCAAAACCAAGGAAAUGUUUGAAUCCGGCAGAAGGCCUCUCCUGGACACCUCGAGGCUGUGGCCUUCAUUCAGGCUCCUUGGAGAAGGUGCUAGCUGGUCAUCUAGGUAGCACUCCAAGGGAGCCUCCAUCUUGCUUCUGGCAUUCCAUCAGACCGCAGGGAAGUCAGCCAGG